rnacentral:rRNA from 1 species
CUACGGGUUGCAGCAGUGAGGAAUAUUGCACAAUGGGGGGAACCCUGAUGCAGCAACGCCGCGUGGAGGAUGACGCAUUUCGGUGUGUAAACUCCUUUUAUAUGUCAAGAAAAUGACGGUAGCAUAUGAAUAAGCACCGGCUAACUCCGUGCCAGCAGCCGCGGUAAUACGGAGGGUGCAAGCGUUACUCGGAAUCACUGGGCGUAAAGGACGCGUAGGCGGGUUGGAAAGUCAGGUGUGAAAUCCUACAGCUUAACUGUAGAACUGCACUUGAAACUUCUAAUCUAGAGUAUGGGAGGGGGGUAUGGAAUUAGUGGUGUAGGGGUAAAAUCCGUAGAUAUCACUAGGAAUACCUAAAGCGAAGGCGAUCUCCUGGAACAUUACUGACGCUAAGGCGUGAAAGCGUGGGGAGCAAACAGGAUUAGAUACCCGGGUAGUC